rnacentral:rRNA from 1 species
GAUGAACGCUGGCGGCGUGCCUAAUACAUGCAAGUCGAGCGAACAGACGAGGAGCUUGCUCCUCUGACGUUAGCGGCGGACGGGUGAGUAACACGUGGAUAACCUACCUAUAAGACUGGGAUAACUUCGGGAAACCGGAGCUAAUACCGGAUAAUAUAUUGAACCGCAUGGUUCAAUAGUGAAAGACGGUUUUGCUGUCACUUAUAGAUGGAUCCGCGCCGCAUUAGCUAGUUGGUAAGGUAACGGCUCACCAAGGCAACGAUGCGUAGCCGACCUGAGAGGGUGAUCGGCCACACUGGAACUGAGACACGGUCCAGACUCCUACGGGAGGCAGCAGUAGGGAAUCUUCCGCAAUGGGCGAAGGCCUGACGGAGCAACGCCGCGUGAGUGAUGAAGGUCUUCGGAUCGUAAAACUCUGUUAUUAGGGAAGAACAAAUGUGUAAGUAACUAUGCACGUCUUGACGGUACCUAAUCAGAAAGCCACGGCUAACUACGUG